GGGGAUUUAGCUCAGUGGUAGAGCCCUUGCCUAGCAAGCACAAGGCCCUGGGUUCGGUCCCCAGCUCCG
rfam:Rattus norvegicus chromosome 19, whole genome shotgun sequence.